rnacentral:rRNA from 1 species
AGUAGGCCUCAAGUGAUGUGUGACUACCCCCUAAUUUU